rnacentral:rRNA from 1 species
AAUCAACGCUGGCGGCGUGCCUCAGACAUGCAAGUCGAACGAUUAAGACUUCCUUCGGGAGGUGCAUAAAGUGGCGCACGGGUGAGUAACACGUAAGUAAUCUACCCUCGAGUGGGGAAUAACGUUCGGAAACGAACGCUAAUACCGCAUAACGCAGCGGCACCGCAAGGUGACAGUGGUUAAAGGAGCAAUCCGCUUGAGGAGGAGCUUGCGGCAGAUUAGCUAGUUGGUAAGGUAAUGGCUUACCAAGGCUACGAUCUGUAUCCGGUCUAAGAGGACGGUCGGACACACUGACACUGAAUAACGGGUCAGACUCCUACGGGAGGCAGCAGUCGGGAAUUUUGGGCAAUGGGCGAAAGCCUGACCCAGCAACGCCGCGUGAAGGAUGAAGUAUUUCGGUAUGUAAACUUCGAAAGAAUGGGAAGAAUAAAUGACGGUACCAUUUAUAAGCUCCGGCUAACUACGUGCCAGCCGCCGCGGUAAAAC